UACGUAGGGUGCAAGCGUUGUCCGGAAUUAUUGGGCGUAAAGAGCUCGUAGGCGGUUUGUCGCGUCUGCUGUGAAAACUCAGGGCUUAACCCUGAGCCUGCAGUGGGUACGGGCAGACUAGAGUGUGGUAGGGGGAGACUGGAAUUCCUGGUGUAGCGGUGGAAUGCGCAGAUAUCAGGAGGAACACCGAUGGCGAAGGCAGGUCUCUGGGCCAUUACUGACACUGGAGAAGCGAAAAGCCAUGGGGGAGCGAAACAGG
rnacentral:rRNA from 1 species